CAGCAGCCGCGGUAAAACGAAGGGGGCUAGCGUUGCUCGGAAUUACUGGGCGUAAAGGGAGCGUAGGCGGACAUUUAAGUCAGGGGUGAAAUCCCAGAGCUCAACUCUGGAACUGCCUUUGAUACUGGGUGUCUUGAGUGUGAUAGAGGUAUGUGGAACUCCGAGUGUAGAGGUGAAAUUCGUAGAUAUUCGGAAGAACACCAGUGGCGAAGGCGACAUACUGGAUCAUUACUGGCGCUGAGGCUCGAAAGCGUGGGGAGCAAACAGGUUUAGAUACCCCCGUAGUCCCUGUCUCUUAUAC
rnacentral:rRNA from 1 species